UGGGGGAUGAAUUCCUAAAUUGGAGGAUGUAAGUCUUUAGAAUGAAAAGAAAGACAUAGACAAAGGCCUAGAGAGAGGAAAAACACAACAAGAUUUCCAAGAGAAGUAGUAGGGUCAUACAUAGAAUCAGCGUGUCAGAGCAUUUGUCAAAAACAACAUUGGAAACUAAAGGACAUGGGCUGAUGACUUCUACUCGAACUUUAUCUCUACUCAUACUAUCAAUCAGGAAUUGUUCAAUUUGAAAGCAGAAUUUAUAGGAACUAGUUCCAGCAUGGUACUUGUAAUUUUUUCUAAUGGAAGGCUGACCAGAGGAUGUAAUCAAAAUCCCAGAGGAAAGACCCAAGCAGCAACAAUGAAUUAGGAAAACACUCUCAGACAGAGAGAAUGAACAGUGAUUAAGGACUAACCCCUCCCUGUAUAGGGAGAUCUGACUAAAGUUUUAUUUUUAUGUCUCACUUUUUCCUGAUUCCCUUUCUGUGGUGUCCCUGUCCUAGAAAACUCUGAGAGCGAAAGGCUAUUCCUAAGUAUCUGCACCUAAGGCGUAAUAACUGAGGCAUGUUCUUCAUAUCUGGACCUGACUGAGACAAUUUUCAUGAUGAGAUACUGAAUUUAACCCCUGAUGGGGUAAGAAUUUUAGGGUACAGAAUGAGCAUAUUUUUGCAAGUAAGUAGGACAAGAACUGUGGCCAGAGGAUGAACUGUAGUAGCAUUCAAAAAAUAGCUCCUAAGUUUUCCCAUUCCUUUGACACACAAACCACUUCUCUGUUCAGGGGUGAAGUCCAUUUCCCUUCUUCUUCAAUCUUUCCAUGAAAGUGGACUCCAAAACUGCUUCGGGGAGUGACAAGAGUGAUGGGAUAGUGUGUUUCAAGCAAGAAGGAGUAUUUUGAGAGGAAUUAAUGGAGCUUGUCAUGCUGGCUUUCCUGGUGAACUUGGCUGUUUUCAUCCCCCAAGGAGCUCUGGACCUUGUUGGCACUGAGAAUAGCUUCAGUUCACUUUGGGGGAGCUCUGGUUCUCACCUCGAGCAUCGCUUCCUGGCUCUGGAGGGGAAGAUGGUGCACUGCCAGUCUCCUGGAGACGGUUGCUGCAUUGGCUUCCCUGAUGGAAACUCAGCCAUCUUGAUCAUCAGAGGAGCUCGGGACCUCACUGUUGCUGAGGAUGGCUCUGGUACCUUUCGGGGGAACUCUGGCUCUUCUGAGCGUCACUUCCUGACUCCAGUGCAGAUCCUUCAGCCUGCUAGCACAGAUCCUUCAUCCCAUGGGCACAGACUUUCUAGAUUCCACCUCUGACUUUUGGGCCUUCCUGGUGCAGAUCUGUGAAACAGGCCUGCAUGAGAUAUUGUUAUGGGCUCUAGGCCUCCAGUUGGAUACAUGGGAGGCAUUGUUAUGGGCUCUAGGUCUUCAGCUGGACUCAUAUAAGACAUUAUCACAAGAUCCAGGCCCUCAGCUGGAUUUUUCAUAUAUAGUGUGUGGACAGAUUUCCUGCACUCUCUUGUAUAUUAUUCUUUGGGUGACUAUUAUAAAUAAUCUUAUAAAAUAUGUGUCCUAUAUUAUAUUGUCUCCCUUGCAAAAAUAAUCCCCAAACCAACACAGGGUAUGGAUGCUACACCCACUCUGGGGUGGGUAGUUUGCAUACAAUAUAAGGGAGGGAAAGAGGUUUGCUUUCUGCUGCUGCUCCUUUUUUUGCUCUUGUUGCUUUUGCUGUCUUCCACCACCAUGAACUGUUGCCCUCUGCCAUGUGCCCCUCUGCCUUGGAGCCAGCCGAGUAUGGACUGAAAUCUCUACAAACUGUGAGCUAAAUAAACCUUUCCUUCCUUAAUUUUGGGGGUCAGAUAUUUUGCCUCAUUAAUGAGAGAAAAGUAGCCAAGACAAUCUGAAAUACUAAAGCUAUUAAUUUGCAUAAUAGCAAGCCACAAUCUAUUGAAUUAAAGACAGAAGUCUUUGGGAUUCUGGAAAGAACUUGCUUCUUCAUAUCACUUUCUGUGAGCUUCCUAUCUUGCUUGAGUCCCCAAAACUGGCUUGGUGGAUUUUAUAUGUUGAGUGUAGAAAAUAAUUUGCAGUUGAGUAAACAAUCUGAUUCAUCUCAUGGAUGAGGCCAAAAGAAAGAGAUGAGAAGUCUCAGCUAAUUGUGAGUUCUAUUUAUGCAUAUGAUUUUUAAGGGCUUCAAGAACUGGUGAAUAACUGAAAAACUCACCUCUACAGGUAGGGAUAAGCUUUUUAUAGUAGCUUUAUGAGGUAUUACUAGGGACCCUGGAUACAAUGAUGAGUUUGUCUUAGUACAGACCCAAGAGAAAUGGUUAUUUUAACAUUUUGUAAAAUGGAAUCCUCAAGGUCCUUGUAUCUAUAAAUUGGAAUUGGUUAAAGAUCUUGGAACCCUAAAGACAAGUCCUUAGGAAUGAGACCUAGGGGGUAACCCACUUGCCGGGCCCCCUUCUGUUCCUCUCAGACAGAAGCUUUCUUUCACACCAUAAAUUCUUCCUACUCUUAACCUUUAUUGUUCCUAGAAUUAAUUCCUCACUUUCAGAGAAUGUGAACUUGGUAUUUUGGACAUCUAGCAGAUUGAGAGUUUCAUUCCCCUGUAUGAUUUGGAGGUCUUCCACCAAGAUCAUUGGACAGAAGUAAAAGUUUGCUUUUGUUUUAGAGAUCUCUGAUUGUGACUUGCUUAGGCAAUCAACAUUUUUAUGAUGUUAUGUCUUUGCUCACUGUUUAUAAUUGGCCAUGUUGUGUCUCUCACAUAAUUUUAUUAAAAUCAUGAUAAAUUUAAGUUGAAAACAUGGGAGGGUUACAAGGUUGUAAUGCUUCUUUAAUGCAACAAU
ensembl:lincRNA